AACGAACGCUGGCGGCGCGCCUAAUACAUGCAAGUCGAGCGAGAAGACGUAGCAAUACGUUUGUAAAGCGGCGAACGGGUGAGGAAUACAUGGGUAACCUACCCUCGAGUGGGGAAUAACUAGCCGAAAGGUUAGCUAAUACCGCGUACGCUCCUUGGACUUCGGUUCAGGGAGGAAAGCGAUACCGUGGGUAUCGCGCUCUUGGUUGGGCUCAUGUCCUAUCAGCUUGUUGGUGAGGAACGGCUCACCAAGGCUUCGACGGGUAGCUGGUCUGAGAGGACGAUCAGCCACACUGGCACUGCGACACGGGCCAGACUCCUACGGGAGGCAGCAGUAAGGAAUAUUGCGCAAUGGGCGAAAGCCUGGCGCAGCGACGCCGC
rnacentral:rRNA from 1 species